ACGAACGCUGGCGGCAUGCCUAACACAUGCAAGUCGAACGAGACCUUCGGGUCUAGUGGCGCACGGGUGCGUAACGCGUGGGAACCUGCCCUUAGGUUCAGAAUAACUCCCCGAAAGGGGUGCUAAUACCGGAUAAUGUCUUCGGACCAAAGAUUUAUCGCCUUUGGAUGGGCCCGCGUUGGAUUAGCUAGUUGGUAGGGUAAAAGCCUACCAAGGCGACGAUCCAUAGCUGGUCUGAGAGGAUGAUCAGCCACACUGGGACUGAAACACGGCCCAGACUCCUACGGGAGGCAGCAGUGGGGAAUAUUGGACAAUGGGCGAAAGCCUGAUCCAGCAAUGCCGCGUGAGUGAUGAAGGCCUUAGGGUUGUAAAGCUCUUUUACCCGGGAUGAUAAUGACAGUACCGGGAGAAUAAGCUCCGGCUAACUCCGUG
rnacentral:rRNA from 1 species